rfam:Rhizopogon vinicolor AM-OR11-026 unplaced genomic scaffold K503scaffold_20, whole genome shotgun sequence.
GGCCGCCUGGCGAAAUGGCAUCGCGUCUGACUACGAUGUCGGUAAUCAGGAGAUUGCAGGUUCGACCCCUGCGGUGGUCA